GGGGCGUGCUCAGACCGGGGGUGGGGGGCUGAAGAAAUGGCUCCUCUGUUUACAACACACCCAACGGGAAGCUGGGUUCACUGUGACAAGGGGCCCAAAACGCAUGGCCUGUCUAUAAACAAAUACCCAACAUGG
rnacentral:snoRNA from 9 species